UACGGAGGAUGCAAGCGUUAUCCGGAAUGAUUGGGCGUAAAGCGUCCGCAGGCGGCUAUGUAAGUCUGCUGUUAAAGAGUGAGGCUCAACCUCAUAAGAGCAGUGGAAACUACAUGGCUAGAGUGCGUUCGGGGCAGAGGGAAUUCCGGGUGUAGCGGUGGAAUGCGUAGAGAUCCGGAAGAACACCGGUGGCGAAGGCGGCCCGCUGGGCAGUGACUGACGCUGAGGCGCGACAGCGUGGGGAGCAAACAGG
rnacentral:rRNA from 1 species